rnacentral:rRNA from 1 species
AACGAACGCUGGCGGCAGGCCUAACACAUGCAAGUCGAACGCCCUCUUCGGAGGGAGUGGCAGACGGGUGAGUAACGCGUGGGAACCUUCCCUAUGGUACGGAAUAACUCAGAGAAAUUUGAGCUAAUACCGUAUAAGCCCUUCGGGGGAAAGAGUUUAUCGCCAUAGGAUGGGCCCGCGUCGGAUUAGCUUGUUGGUGAGGUAAAGGCUCACCAAGGCAACGAUCCGUAGCUGGUCUUAGAGGAUGAUCAGCCANACUGGGACUGAGACACGGCCCAGACUCCUACGGGAAGCAGCAGUGGGGAAUAUUGGACAAUGGGCGCAAGCCUGAUCCAGCCAUGCCGCGUGAGUGACGAAGGCCUUAGGGUUGUAAAGCUCUUUUGGCGGGGACGAUAAUGACGGUACCCGCAGAAUAAGCCCCGGCUAACUCCGUG